rnacentral:rRNA from 1 species
GACGAACGCUGGCGGCGUGCUUAACACAUGCAAGUCGAACGGAAAGGCCUUUUCGGAGGUACUCGAGUGGCGAACGGGUGAGUAACACGUGGGUGAUCUGCCCUGCACUCUGGGAUAAGCCUGGGAAACUGGGUCUAAUACCGGAUAGGACCGCACUUUAGUGUGUGUGGUGGAAAGUUUUUUCGGUGUAGGAUGAGCCCGCGGCCUAUCAGCUUGUUGGUGGGGUAAUGGCCUACCAAGGCGGCGACGGGUAGCCGGACUGAGAGGUUGGUCGGCCACAUUGGGACUGAGAUACGGCCCAGACUCCUACGGGAGGCAGCAGUGGGGAAGAUUGCACAAUGGGCGCAAGCCUGAUGCAGCGACGCCGCGUGGGGGAUGACGGCCUUCGGGUUGGAAACUCCUUUCGCCAGGGACGAAGCGUUUUGUGACGGUACCUGGAGAAGAAGCACCGGCUAACUACGUG